rnacentral:rRNA from 1 species
GAUGAACGCUGGCGGCGUGCCUAACACAUGCAAGUCGAGCGAACCCUUCGGGGUGAGCGGCGGACGGGUGAGUAACGCGUGGGUAACCUGCCCUGUACACACGGAUAACAUACCGAAAGUAUGCUAAUACGAGAUAACAUAUUUUAAUCGCAUGGUUAAGAUAUCAAAGCUCCGGCGGUACAGGAUGGACCCGCGUCUGAUUAGCUAGUUGGUGAGGUAAUGGCUCACCAAGGCGACGAUCAGUAGCCGACCUGAGAGGGUGAUCGGCCACACUGGAACUGAGACACGGUCCAGACUCCUACGGGAGGCAGCAGUGGGGAAUAUUGCACAAUGGGCGAAAGCCUGAUGCAGCAACGCCGCGUGAGCGAUGAAGGCCUUCGGGUCGUAAAGCUCUGUCCUCAAGGAAGAUAAUGACGGUACUUGAGGAGGAAGCCCCGGCUAACUAC